GAAGAAGAUGGAUUCGGCGCUGCUUCAGCUCUGGCCAAAACGUGACACUCAGAAUGUGAUUAUAUUUUCUUCCUCUUUGCAGGCAGCAAUGUCUUCACAUAUACGUGUGUCCCCUGUCCACCCAACACCUUCUCAGACACACCGGCUGGGAACUGCAGGCCACUGACUGACUGUCAAGCCUUUGAUUUUAUCACCGUCACCCCUGGCAACCGAACCCACAACACAAAGUGCGGAUGUCACAAAGAUUCCUGCCUCUCCAGGGUACCUCUGCUGGUGGCCUCCUUGCUCUUCACCAUCACAUUAGUGAUUCUGAUUGCCAACAUUCUGCUAUGGAAGAUCAUGUACAAGAAGCAAACCAUUCAUUUUAAGCCUG